AUUCUGGAAAUCAAUAUAUGCUGCCCUCACUUAUUAAUUAAGCACACAGGUAGGAAUGUGAGGGAGUCAAAGCCUGGAACGUGCCCCGCCUCCUUGCCCGUCUAUCCCAGCAUCCCUGGUGGCUGCUUCUGCUCAUCCACUGGUCUCUUUAAUCCAGGAUCUUCAAGGCUGAGAGAUCCAGAAAGGAAGGGACCACGGAGGUUUUGUUCACCAUGGUAUAUCCAGGCUUUUCACUCCAAGCCAAGUGGAACAUCAAAUAUUUUUUGAAGGAAUGAAUGAAAUGAGUCAGCUUUUUGGCCUUAGAUGAAUUGUUGCCCCUGGCAAGCAUGGGUACUGUUGUCACACUUGGCUUCCCUGUGGCUGUGAGAUCCUGAGCAUUUCCCCAAAAGAGGUUUGAAAUACAGCUGUUCCACCCUCAGUACCUUCCCUUACCACAGCCUCACCAAUCAGCCCUCUAGUGGUGUUUCUGAAGGAAACAUCUGGAGAUUAUGGCUACCUUAAAAAUGAAGUUUUGCUUUAUUUUUAAAAACACCCAAAAGACGAUGAGUAUUUUUAGUGUGUAUUGUAUGACGAAAUUUAUUACAGUUUGCCUUUGUACGUGUAUUUGAUUCAAAAUUUGCUUCUACAUCUCUAAGAAUUAUCAAAUACUAUUGAACUAUUAAUAUGAGUAAUAGUUAAGAGCUAGGUUCUGGAUAAGUUCAAAUUUCAUUCUUUUGUUCAUCAGCUGUAGGAUCUUGGAUGAGUCAUUUGACGUUUCUAAACUUCAGCUGCCUCAUUUAUAAAAAAGGGAUAGUAGCACUUACUUGACAGCAUUGUUGUGGGAUUAUAUGAGGUCGUGUAUGUAACGAUGUUACCUAGUACCAUGCAUAUAGUAAUGAUUUGAUAGAAUAUGAGUAUUAUUCAUAAAUAAUUGUAGAAAGACAGCUUAGUGUAAUAGAAAGGGCACUAAGGAGAGUAUCAAUAAUCUUGAGUUCAAGUCCUCAUUCUACCAAUCACAGCUGUGUGACAGUAGAAAUGUCAUGUGACCUCCCCAAGUCUUAGUAUCCUCAUCUGUAAAAAGUGGCAAAGAAAAGUGGCCUGACCUACACGGAGGCUUAUUUGAAGGAUUAAAUAAGACAAAAAUGUAAAAGCACUUUAUAUACUAUAAAUCACUAUAUACUAUGUGCAAAGCUUUAUAAAGCCAUUGACUUUUCCUUUACAUUAAAAAUAGGAUCGCUGUGACUCAAUAUUAAAGAAAAGCAGGUGCAGGGUUCAGAUAGCUCAAAAUUCAGCUGCUUCUAAAAUGGGAAAUAAAAAUUUUGAUGUCACCAUCUAAGACUCAGUGAAUUUUGGCAGCAUUCCACUUGCUUAAUUGUUCUGUUAUUAAAAAAACAAAACGCAGCCAGCAGGGCUAUAAAAACUCUCAAUAUAUUUGCAAAUUGAUUUUUCCAGAGCACACAUUCAAUGUCCUGGAAUUCCAGGCAGUAUUCUUGGACUCAUUUCCUGAGUUCACUUAUGGAAGGUAAAUACCACCCUGGAGAGGAAAAUGAAGCUUGCCAUCAAAUCACUGUUCUUUCCAUCUGACACAUUAAGUUUGCUUUAUGCUGAAGUUAUUUUCACAUUCACGUGAAUUACUACCCAGGUUUCUCUCUCCUUUGAGUGGUGUAGCAAGUGAGCCAAGGCUCUGACAACUUCUUUACAGGGUGGAUUAUUUAUUAUUUUAAAGCCUCUUGUAUAUUUAGUGACCAAGUCAUUUCUAUAUUAAUUCAUGCUAAAGGACCCUGGAAGCAUAGCACUGUCAUAUAUUUUUUGGUGUCAUUUAUUCAUAGAUAUCAGGUAUAUGUUACUCUAGAAAAAUGGUUCAGCUGAUGUGGGUGACCUUUUUGGUUCUUUCCCACCCGGAGUCUGAGUCUGACUGAACAAGUUGUUAACUUCAAGGGGCAUACUAAAGCUGACUGAAUUCUCUUCUAGUUUCAUUUCAUUUAUCACUUAGAAUUGCUUGAAGAGACCAAUUCAAGGCAGCAAACUCAUGCUUAGUGUUUUAUUAUCUGCUAUAUAUAUAUAUAUAUAUAUGUCUUUCACCAGCUUCAGCUCUAAGACAUGCAUAAUAGGUGGAAUACAUUCUAGAUACUGCUACACUGAUGUCAUCCUUAAUUUUCUUAUCCCUACCCUUGUCAUCCAAUAAAAGCAAGUCAUGUUGAUGUCUCUUGAUUCAGCCUACCUCUUACCAUCCUCACUGCCUAAGCCAGCAUCUGCAAUAGUUUAACAGGUAUUUUUGCUCAUCCAUUAUUGUCACCUCCAAUUCAUUCUCUGCCCUGCAGCUGGAGUGAGUGAUGCAGAACAUAAAUUGAAUCAUGUCUCAUCCUCGCUAAAAACUUACAGUGGUUACCCACUGCUUUUAGUGUAAAGACCAGAAUCCUUAUAGAGCGGCUCAUGAGGCAUGAAUAUUCUGAUCUUUCCUAUCUCCAGACACAAUGGCAAAACUCUUCUGCCAGCUACAGUAACCUGCUCUCACAGCUCCCACUGUCUUGUUUCUUCCACUUCUGGCCUUUGCAGAAUGCU
ensembl:lncRNA